rnacentral:tRNA from 1 species
GGAAUUGUGGCUUAGUGGUAGAGCACUUGCCUGGCAUGUAUGAGGCCCUGGGUUCAACCCUCAGCACCA